rnacentral:tRNA from 1 species
GCUCUUGAGCCCAACGGAGGGCGCAGGCUGGCAUGCCUUGCUUUGUCGGUUCGAAUCCGGCCGGGGGCG